GACGAACCGUGCGAACGUUGUUCGGAAUCACUGGGCUUAAAGGGCGCGUAGGCGGGCUAUCAAGUCCGGGGUGAAAUCCUCCAGCUCAACUGGAGAACUGCCUCGGAUACUGAUGGUCUCGAGGAGGAUAGGGGCACACGGAACUGUGGGUGGAGCGGUGAAAUGCGUUGAUAUCCAUAGGAACUCCGGUGGCGAAGGCGGUGUGCUGGAUCCUUUCUGACGCUGAGGCGCGAAAGCCAGGGGAGCAAACGGG
rnacentral:rRNA from 1 species